AUUGAACGCUGGCGGCAUGCCUUACACAUGCAAGUCGAACGGUAACAGGUCUUCGGAUGCUGACGAGUGGCGAACGGGUGAGUAAUACAUCGGAACGUGCCUAGUAGUGGGGGAUAACUACUCGAAAGAGUGGCUAAUACCGCAUGAGAUCUACGGAUGAAAGCAGGGGAUCGAAAGACCUUGUGCUACUAGAGCGGCCGAUGGCAGAUUAGGUAGUUGGUGGGAUAAAAGCUUACCAAGCCGACGAUCUGUAGCUGGUCUGAGAGGACGAUCAGCCACAUUGGGACUGAGACACGGCCCAGACUCCUACGGGAGGCAGCAGUGGGGAAUUUUGGACAAUGGGCGAAAGCCUGAUCCAGCAAUGCCGCGUGCAGGAUGAAGGCCUUCGGGUUGUAAACUGCUUUUGUACGGAACGAAAAGCCCUGGGUUAAUACCCUGGGGUCAUGACGGUACCGUAAGAAUAAGCACCGGCUAACUACGUGCCAGCCGCCGCGGUAAUAC
rnacentral:rRNA from 1 species